CCCAGCGCGUCCAGCCGCGGCGUCCGGAUGGCCGAGCCGUGCCAGCCCACGUCGCCCCAGCCCAGGUCGUCGGCCAGCACCAGCACCAGCUUCCAGGUAUUUCUCCAGACGUUCUGAUGGAAGAAGUGGAAUGUGUCACAGAGGUAUUCCAAA